rnacentral:rRNA from 1 species
GAUGAACGCUGGCGGCGUGCCUAAUACAUGCAAGUCGAGCGAACAGACGAGGAGCUUGCUCCUCUGACGUUAGCGGCGGACGGGUGAGUAACACGUGGAUAACCUACCUAUAAGACUGGGAUAACUUCGGGAAACCGGAGCUAAUACCGGAUAAUAUAUUGAACCGCAUGGUUCAAUAGUGAAAGACGGUUUUGCUGUUACUUAUAGAUGGAUCCGCGCCGCAUUAGCUAGUUGGUAAGGUGACGGCUUACCAAGGCAACGAUGCGUAGCCGACCUGAGAGGGUGAUCGGCCACACUGGAACUGAGACACGGUCCAGACUCCUACGGGAGGCAGCAGUAGGGAAUCUUCCGCAAUGGGCGAAAGCCUGACGGAGCAACGCCGCGUGAGUGAUGAAGGUCUUCGGAUCGUAAAACUCUGUUAUUAGGGAAGAACAAAUGUGUAAGUAACUAUGCACGUCUUGACGGUACCUAAUCAGAAAGCCACGGCUAACUACGUG